rnacentral:piRNA from 1 species
CAUCUCUCUCAACAGCUGAAAUUGGCU